AGGGAAAUAGCUCAAUGGUAGAGCACACACUUAGCAUACAGGAGGUCCUGGGUUCAAUCCCCAGUACCCCCA
rnacentral:tRNA from 1 species